rnacentral:rRNA from 1 species
CCCUAGUAACUGCGAGUGAAGCGGGAAAAGCUCAAAUUUAAAAUCUGGCGGUCUUUGGCUGUCCGAGUUGUAAUCUAGAGAAGUGUUAUCCGCGCUGGACCGUGUACAAGUCUCCUGGAAUGGAGCGUCAUAGAGGGUGAGAAUCCCGUCUUUGACACGGACUGCCAGGGCUUUGUGAUGCGCUCUCAAAGAGUCGAGUUGUUUGGGAAUGCAGCUCAAAAUGGGUGGUAAAUUCCAUCUAAAGCUAAAUAUUGGCGAGAGACCGAUAGCGAACAAGUACCGUGAGGGAAAGAUGAAAAGAACUUUGGAAAGASAGUUAAACAGUACGUKAAAUUGCUKVAASGGRAACGBUUGAAGUCAGUCGCGUUGGCCAGGGWUCAACCUUGCUUUUGCUGGGCGUACUUCCUGGUUAAUGGGUCAGCAUCAAKUKUGACCGUUGGAUAAAGGUUAGGGGAAUGUGGCAUCUUCGGAUGUGUUAUAGCCCUUGGUCGCAUACAACGGUUGGGAUUGAGGAACUCAGCACGCCGCAAGGCCGGGUACUCGUACCACGUUCGUGCUUAGGAUGCUGGCAUAAUGGCUUUAAUCGACCCGUCUUGAAACACGGACCAAGGAGUCUAACAUGCCUGCGAGUGUUUGGGUGGAAAACCCGAGCGCGUAAUGAAAGUGAAAGUUGAGAUCCCUGUCGUGGGGAGCAUCGACGCCCGGACCAGACCUUUUGUGACGGCUCCGCGGUAGAGCAUGUAUGUUGGGACCC